UCUACCAAAUAAUUGUUGGAUUUGAUCUGCUUAAAGUCUCCAAUUGGUCCUAAAAAUUGGGCUACUUGAUUCAGUUCACUAGGUAACAUGAAGGUAGGCCAUUGUUGAACCUCAGUUGAUGGUAUUAACAACUGGUAGAUGCGGCGAGGGCAAGCCAUCUGAUAAUGAAGAAGGUAGUUUGUCAAUUACCUUACCUACGAGUCUCAUUCCUCCAGUUAUGCGAUAAUUUAAACGUGCAGUCCCUUGAAGGGUUAAAUACCCAUGGGACACAAAAGGGUUGGUUUUAUUCCUAAAAACGGGAUUCCCUACGUGGCGUUCCCUUUCUAGGGUUUAUGCAUGAUGCUAUUUUAUUAAAACAAUAAAAUAUGCAAUUUGAAAUGAAACGUGACCUAAGGAACCCUUUAUUUGCCAGGGUAGGCCUAGAAUGGUUUGCAAUCAUUAAUCUACGAAUGCAAUAUACCAAAAUCUUUAAACGUGCAAUAACCUAUCUACAAGGGUAGGUUCUAAAAGAAAGUCAUGCCAGACCUCUUAUUUCCUAAUGUUUGUGAAUGCAAAAGACAAGAGACAAGGAAACGUGAGUUCAACACAUAAUCACAUAACACAUUUGGACAAAUAGAUAAGACAAUAAAGAUAAAUAAGGAAAGAGGGUUGGGACCCCUCCCCUCGUGAAUAGUGUCCCUAGUUCAGGAUAAGGCUGACUCUACCCUAGGCAAUUCUAAUAUGGAUGCAUGAGGCUUGGCUUACUAAUGCAUCUAGACUCGAU
rnacentral:lncRNA from 1 species